AAAAGAUAAGCAGGAAGCCCAUCCUGGAUCAGACAGCUAGAAUGUUCUGAACUGCGUGUUCAGAAGACAAAUGAGUGAGAAGUCCUAUUUGUUUCCAUUUAACACAGCAGUCUGUGCUGGAGUUGGAGUAUAUUUCCUGUGGUUCAUCAGAAGAACUGGCAAGCAAACAAGGCUUAUAGAUGUGAUUCAGACUUGUGAGGAUUUCCUGUUGCAAAACUUUGGCAUUCACUGAUGUUUCCCGGUGGUGCAGAAAGCCAGAGGAGCAGUGGGUUGCCAUAAGGAUUUGGCCUGAAGAUUCUUCCUGUGGAGCUAGCAAAUGGUGAUUUGAAUUGUGUCCUGCAAGAUGAAAGCCAUAAAUCAGACCUGAGCAGAGGUGAAAGUCUAAGUAAUUGUUAAUGCUCUGAACCUAAGGUGCCAAACUUCAUUUCAUCUCUUCAAUAUUUGGACAGGACAAGGAUACUUCUUCUUCUUUAGAAUAAGGAAACAGUGGAAUCUUCUUCAGAAAUUCUUCAGAAAUUCCCAGGAGGUGCAAUGAGUGCACAUAGUUCUUACUCUGGUUAUUUGUCUUCUUCUCGCAUUGCUGCAGCUAGAAGAUUGCUAAGUGCCUUUUUAGGACAGGUUUGAAUUCAGUGAGACUACUUAUGUAAGUAGCUGCUCACCAAUUUGAGCAAUGUCACCCUCGGUUUCCAUUUCUAGGACAUAUUGGUCAAGAAAGUUGGGUCUGUUACGUCAAUAACCUCUUGGUUGCUACAUCUCGGCUCCUGUCCUCCAGAGUCUGUUGGCGAGCUUCAGCACAAUUCCCAUUAAAUUUACUACAAACUGAUUAAAUCAUGGCUUGUAGUGGAUGGUACAGAAUUUGGUUGUUUAUUUAUCUCUGGCUGAUUUUCUAGGAUCAGGGAUUUCUACUGCCCUAAAGAUGAAAGGUUAAAUUCCUUCAAGUCUUUGACCUAGAUAACACCAUGUCACUCUGCUUGGACUCCACAGAGGAUAGCAUCCGUAUCCCUUUGUAAAUGCCAUUCCAGUAAUUCUCUCUUACAUGAAUUUUUCUGAAGAACAACAAAGCAACGCUUGGUGGGAAUUUCCCACAAUGUAUUUGUUUGUAUCCAAAAACGCUGACUUGUUAAAACAGAACCUUUUUGUGGGAAAGUAUUUGUUUCAGUAAGAAGGCUUCUCAGAUUCAGAACUGAAUU